AAUGAACGCUGGCGGCGUGCUUAACACAUGCAAGUCGAGCGCGAAAGUGGCUUCGGCCACGAGUAGAGCGGCGAACGGGUGAGUAACACGUGGACUACCUGCCUGGGUGUGGGGGACAACUUCGGGAAACUGAAGCUAAUACCGCAUACGCUCAGCAAUGAGGAAAGGUCGCCUAUCCUUGGAAGCGAUCGCAUUCAGAGGGGUCCGUGGCUGAUUAGCUUGUCGGUGGGGUAAUGGCCUACCAAGGCGACGAUCAGUAGCCGGCCUGAGAGGGUGAACGGCCACACUGGAACUGAGACACGGUCCAG
rnacentral:rRNA from 1 species